AAUAGAUACCCUGGUAGUCCACGUCGUAAACGAUGAGUACUAGUUGUCGGGGGUAUCGACCCCCUCGGUAACGAAGCUAACGCGAUAAGUACUCCGCCUGGGGACUACGGCCGCAAGGCUAAAACUCAAAGGAAUUGACAGGGGCCCGCACAAGCAGCGGAGCGUGCGGUUUAAUUCGAAGCGACGCGAAGAACCUUACCAGGGCUUGACAUGUUGAGGACCGCCGGUGAAAGUCGGCUUCCCUUCGGGGCCUCAUCACAGAUGCUGCAUGGUCGUCGUCAGCUCGUGCCGUGAGGUGUUGGGUUAAGUCCCGCAACGAGCGCAACCCCUGUCGCCAGUUGUACUUCUCUGGCGAGACUGCCCGGAGCAACCGGGAGGAAGGCGGGGAUGAUGUCAGAUCAGCAUGGCUCUUACGUCCUGGGCCACUCGCACGCUACAAUGGGCAGUACAGACCGUUGCGAAACCGUGAGGUGAAGCUAAUCGGAUAAAGCUGUCCUCAGUUCGGAUUGCAGGCUGCAACCCG
rnacentral:rRNA from 1 species